UAACUUACUCUGUUGGUGUUCACGUGGCUAUGACUCUUUUCAUGGUACUCCAGUUGACUUGAAGUUGAAUCAAGGAGCCUUAGAUCAUGAGCCAAAUAAACAAACGUGUCCCCUCUGGGACCCCGCUGGUGGUGUUCAUGUACCGAAAGCCAGCACAUUACUUCAGCAUGUCCUUGGCACAAUCUAAAAGCAGCAUGCAAUGUCUGUUCUUCUGUGUUUGAUAUCGGUUGGAAAAGGGUUAAACAAAUAAAUGAACAGCCUGAAACAUCAGCUUCCAGGCACUGAAAUCAGAUAAGAUGACUUGUUUUAUGUCAGAGGGACGGAGCAAGUGAGGCAAACUAAAUCACUAAGGAAGCAUAAGGAAUAUCUGCAGGCCAGAUUUGCACCUAAUGUGUUUAGUGAUCUGACUGAAUGUGUGCUUGUGUUCGUUCAGGGCCAGGUGCAGGAGGAACUGGUCCUGGUUCUGGCCUCCCAGGCCUUGUCAUUCCUCAGACUGGGGUACAAGGACUGGGCCCUGGUGGGGUUGGACCUGGGGGAAAAGCCGCGAAGCCUGGGAAAGCUCCAGUGCCAGGAGUGGGAGUGCCUGGACCUUAUCAAGGAGGAAUUGUUCCUGGACAAGGUUUGUUAAUUUUCCUCUGUUUAUGUACUGUAAUAUGACCAC
rnacentral:lncRNA from 1 species